GAUGAACGCUGGCGGCGUGCCUAAUACAUGCAAGUCGAGCGAACAGACGAGGAGCUUGCUCCUCUGACGUUAGCGGCGGACGGGUGAGUAACACGUGGAUAACCUACCUAUAAGACUGGGAUCACUUCGGGAAACCGGGGCUAAUACCGGAUAAUAUAUUGAACCGCAUGGUUCAAUAGUGAAAGACGGUUUUGCUGUCACUUAUAGAUGGAUCCGCGCUGCAUUAGCUAGUUGGUAAGGUAACGGCUUAUCAAGGCAACGAUGCGUAGCCGACCUGAGAGGGGGAUCGGCCACACUGGAGCUGAGACACGGACCAGACUCCUACGGGAGGCAGCAGUAGGGAAUCUUCCGCAAUGGGCGAAAGCCUUACGGAGCAACGCGGCGUGAGUGAUGAAGGUCUUCGGAUCGUAAAACUCUGUUAUUAGGGAAGAACAAAUGUGUAAGGAACUGUGCACUUCUUGACGGUACCUAAUCAGAAAGCCACGGCUAACUACGUG
rnacentral:rRNA from 1 species